UGAUAAGAGAGAAAACAUCUCAUAAGUAGAUUUACAGUCUACCACCUAAAAUUCAGCCAUCUUACCGCAAAAAUGAUUAUUCUCAACAAACCAUAAGGACAUUGGUACUUUAUACUUCAUAUUUGGAGCAUGAGCAGGAAUAGUAGGAACAUCAAUAAGAAUACUUAUUCGUGCUGAACUUGGCCAACCCGGAUCUCUAAUUGGGGAUGACCAGAUUUAUAAUGUUAUUAUUACAGCUCACGCAUUCGUAAUAAUUUUCUUUAUAGUAAUACCUAUUAUAAUUGGUGGAUUUGGUAAUUGACUUGUUCCACUAGUAAUUGGUGCACCAGAUAUAGCAUUUCCACGAAUAAAUAAUAUAAGUUUUUGAUUACUACCACCUUCACUAACCCUUCUUCUUACAUCUUCUAUAGUAGAUAAUGGUGCUGGUACAGGAUGAACAGUUUACCCUCCUCUAGCAGGAGCUAUUGCACACGGGGGUGCAUCUGUAGAUCUAGCUAUUUUUUCACUGCACUUAGCAGGUGUAUCAUCUAUUCUUGGUGCAGUGAAUUUCAUUACAACAGCAAUUAAUAUACGAUCAGAAAGUAUAACUUUAGAUCAAACACCUUUAUUUGUAUGAUCUGUAGCUAUUACAGCAUUACUUCUCCUUCUUUCACUUCCAGUUUUAGCAGGAGCUAUUACUAUAUUAUUAACAGAUCGAAAUUUAAAUACAUCAUUCUUUGACCCUGCAGGAGGGGGUGACCCAAUUCUAUAUCAACAUCUAUUUUGAUUCUUUGGACACCCAGAAGUUUAUAUUUUAAUUCUACCGGGGUUCGGAAUUAUUUCACAUAUUGUAUGUCAAGAAAGAGGAAAAAUUGAAUCAUUUGGAACAUUAGGUAUCAUUUAUGCUAUACUAUCAAUUGGACUAAUAGGAUUUAUUGUAUGAGCACAUCAUAUAUUUACAGUAGGAAUGGAUGUUGACACACGAGCAUAUUUUACAUCAGCAACAAUAAUUAUUGCUGUACCUACAGGAAUUAAGGUAUUUAGAUGAUUAGCUACAUUAUAUGGAACUAAAUUCAAGUUCAAUCCACCAUUUAUGAGCUCUAGGAUUUAUUUUCCUAUUUACAAUUGGUGGAUUAACAGGAUUAGUAUUAGCAAAUUCAUCACUUGAUAUUGUAUUACAUGAUACAUAUUAUGUAGUAGCCCACUUUCAUUAUGUUUUAUCUAUAGGAGCAGUAUUUGCAAUUAUAGGAGGUGUCAUUCAAUGAUAUCCACUAUUUACAGGAUUAACUAUAAAUAAUACAUGAUUAAAAAUCCAAUUUACAAUUAUAUUCAUUGGAGUAAAUUUAACAUUCUUUCCUCAACACUUCCUAGGAUUAGCAGGAAUACCUCGACGAUACUCUGACUACCCAGACGCAUAUACAUCAUGAAACGUAGUAUCAAGAAUUGGGUCUACAAUUUCUAUUGUAGGAAUCAUUAUAUUCAUUGUAAUUAUAUGAGAAAGAAUGAUUACAAACCGAGCAAUUAUAUUUAGAGCUAACAUAAGAAGAUCAACAGAAUGACUACAAAAUAACCCUCCUGCAGAACAUAGUUACUCAGAAUUACCAUUAAUCUCUAGAU